rnacentral:tRNA from 1 species
GGGUGUUUAGCUCAGCUGGUUAGAGCGUUCGGUUCACAUCCGAGAGGUCGGUGGUUCGAGUCCACUAACGCCCA